rnacentral:rRNA from 1 species
GAUGAACGCUGGCGGCGUGCCUAAUACAUGCAAGUCGAGCGAACAGACGAGGAGCUUGCUCCUCUGACGUUAGCGGCGGACGGGUGAGUAACACGUGGAUAACCUACCUAUAAGACUGGGAUAACUUCGGGAAACCGGAGCUAAUACCGGAUAAUAUAUUGAACCGCAUGGUUCAAUAGUGAAAGACGGUUUUGCUGUCACUUAUAGAUGGAUCCGCGCCGCAUUAGCUAGUUGGUAAGGUAACGGCUUACCAAGGCAACGAUGCGUAGCCGACCUGAGAGAGUGAUCGGCCACACUGGAACUGAGACACGGUCCAGACUCCUACGGGAGGCAGCAGUAGGGAAUCUUCCGCAAAGGGCGAAAGCCUGACGGAGCAACGCCGCGUGAGUGAUGAAGGUCUUCGGAUCGUAAAACUCUGUUAUUAGGGAAGAACAAAUGUGUAAGUAGCUAUGCACGUCUUGACGGUACCUAAUCAGAAAGCCACGGCUAACUACGUG